UACAGAGGGUGCAAGCGUUAGUCGGAGUUACUGGGCGUAAAGGGCGUGUAGGCUGAUAUCUCAGUCGAUUGUGAAAUCCCUGGGCUUAACCUAGGAAUUGCAUUCGAUACUAGAUGUCUUGAGUAUGGUAGAGGAAAGCGGAAUUCUCGGUGUAGUGGUUAAAUACGUAGAUAUCGAGAAGAACACCGGUGGCGAAGGCGGCUUUCUGGACCAAUACUGACGCUGAGGCGCGAAAGCGUGGGGAGCAAACAGGAUUAGAUACCCUGGUAGUCCACGCUGUAAACGAUGAGAACUAGAUGUUGUUGAGCUUUUAGCUUAACAGUAUCGCAGCUAACGCGUUAAGUUCUCCGCCUGGGGAGUACGGUCGCAAGAUUAAA
rnacentral:rRNA from 1 species